AUUUAUUUUUGAGGACUUCUGAGUUUACGCUCUACAACCCUUUGUGAACAUACCUAUAACUGUUGCUUCGGCGGGUAGGGUCUCCGUGACCCUCCCGGCCUCCCGCCCCCGGGCGGGUCGGCGCCCGCCGGAGGAUAACCAAACUCUGAUUUAACGACGUUUCUUCUGAGUGGUACAAGCAAAUAAUCAAAACUUUUAACAACGGAUCUCUUGGUUCUGGCAUCGAUGAAGAACGCAGCGAAAUGCGAUAAGUAAUGUGAAUUGCAGAAUUCAGUGAAUCAUCGAAUCUUUGAACGCACAUUGCGCCCGCCAGCAUUCUGGCGGGCAUGCCUGUUCGAGCGUCAUUUCAACCCUCAAGCUCUGCUUGGUGUUGGGGCCCUACAGCUGAUGUAGGCCCUCAAAGGUAGUGGCGGACCCUCCCGGAGCCUCCUUUGCGUAGUAACUUUACGUCUCGCACUGGGAUCCGGAGGGACUCUUGCCGUAAAACCCCCAAUUUUCCAAAGGUUGACCUCGGAUCAGGUAGGAAUACCCGCUGACUUAAGCAUAUCAUAAGCAGGAGGA
rnacentral:rRNA from 1 species